rnacentral:rRNA from 1 species
UACGUAGGGUGCAAGCGUUGUCCGGAAUUAUUGGGCGUAAAGGAGCUACGUAGGCGGUUUGUCGUCGUCUGCUGUGAAAACCCGAAGGCUCAACCUCGGGCCUGCAGUGGGUACGGGCAGACUAGAGUGCGGUAGGGGAGAUUGGAAUUCCUGGUGUAGCGGUGGAAUGCGCAGAUAUCAGGAGGAACACCGAUGGCGAAGGCAGAUCUCUGGGCCGUAACUGACGCUGAGGAGCGAAAGCAUGGGGAGCGAACAGG